UACGUAGGGGGCUAGCGUUGUCCGGAAUCAUUGGGCGUAAAGCGCGUGUAGGCGGUUCGGUAAGUCCGCUGUGAAAGUCGGGGGCUCAACCCUCGGAUGCCGGUGGAUACUGUCGGACUAGAGUACGGAAGAGGCGAGUGGAAUUCCUGGUGUAGCGGUGAAAUGCGCAGAUAUCAGGAGGAACGCCGAUUGCGAAGGCAGCUCGCUGGGACGUUACUGACGCUGAGACGCGAAAGCGUGGGGAGCAAACAGG
rnacentral:rRNA from 1 species